rnacentral:rRNA from 2 species
UACGGAGGGUGCAAGCGUUGUCCGGAUUUAUUGGGUUUAAAGGGUGCGUAGGCGGCUUAUUAAGUCAGGGGUGAAAGACUGCAGCUCAACUGUAGCAGUGCCUUUGAUACUGAUGAGCUUGAGUACAGAUGAGGCUGGCGGAAUGGGUGGUGUAGCGGUGAAAUGCAUAGAUACCAUCCAGAACACCGAUUGCGAAGGCAGCCGGCUAAACUGUAACUGACGCUGAGGCACGAAAGCGUGGGGAUCGAACAGG